GCACCCACAGGCGGUGGUGGGCAAGCCCCAGGCCCCUGGAGGGGGCGGCGUGCCCGGGGACACAGCUAGCUGGCAGCGGAGAGGGGCACGCCCAGUGGGGUGCGGGGGCUCCUUUCUCCUGCGCUGCUGGAAGCCCACGGUUCAGGAAAAGAGGUCUCCCGGGAAAUCAAGUUUUUAGGGAGCCAGGCCUUGGGCGGGAAAGGGGUGCUGGACUCCGUUGGACACAGCACCGGCUCUGAGCCGCGAGAAGGGGCAUCUGCUGGAAUGAGGGUGGCCGGCGCCCCACCUCCGGUUCGCAGCGCAGAGUUAACGCGCCCCCUUCCCGUCUCCCUGCGGAGGGAACAGCGCCAGUGUGGCCCAACGCGGCCGCGGGGGGGGGGGGCACUUUUCAGUUCUCUGUGCGAAUUAAUUGGUGCCAGACUCUCACAUGGGAGUUUUGAACAGACAGCCGAGAGCGAAGACUUUUCUUCUUGACACAGAUCAAGAGAGUAAAUGCAAUUCCCAAGAUUUCAGACCAACCAUAGUGAGAGUUUUGGGAAAAGGAACCAAGGACUGACCGUAUUUGAAAGAUCUCAUCCACAUGCUGCAAUGGAGCGUGAAACACUUCCAGAGCUGAGUGUCGGGAGAAAAGUGUGCUAGGAGCCCAUUCCCUGCUCCCUUCUACACCGCGAUGCUCCACUCUGCGUGUCUGGUCUCGAAGGCUUCACGUUUUCACAGCAUCUGGAGUCUGACCACUGCCUUGCCUCCCCCUGCGGCCCCCAGCCUGAGCCCCAUCUCUCGGCUGUCCUUUGGAAGGUGCCGAAGGCCUGACACCUGCUGGGGGCAGUGACCCAUGGGGGCCCCUUCACCCCUCCUGAGGAUCACUGGAGCGCCUGUUCUGAAGCGGCUGGCACAGCCCCUUGGCCCCCUUGGGCUGCUGAGUGUGGGGCUUCUCAACACCGGGCCGCCCUACAAUAAAAUUGCACUCGUGGGUCCCUUGGUCUCAGUGCCGUCCGCUGACAAGGGACCCAGGGGCACCUGUGGCUC